rnacentral:ncRNA from 1 species
UGUAAAUGCCCUUAACCUCUUACCAAGACAAAAGGAGCAGGUAUCAGGCUCGCCCUUGCAGCCCAAGACGCCUUGCNUUGGCCACACCCCCACGGGUAUUCAGCAGUAAUUAACAUUAAGCAAUGAGUGUAAACUUGACUUAGUCAUAGCAACUGCCUAGGGUUGGUAAAUCUUGUGCCAGCCACCGCGGUCACACAAGAAGCCCAAAUUAACUGUAGUACGGCGUAAAGAGUGGUAUGUGUACUAUCGUAAUACCUAGGAUCAAAAUGUAACUGAGCCGUCAUAAGCCCAAGUCACACCUAAAACCAUCAUUAAAAUGAUCCUACCAAGUUAACGAUUAAUCAGAUCCACUAAAGCUAGGACACAAACUGGGAUUAGAUACCCCACUAUGCCUAGCCCUAAAUCUUGGUACUUAGCCUUACCGAAGUAUCCGCCUGAGAACUACGAGCACAAACGCUUAAAACUCUAAGGACUUGGCGGUGUCCCAAACCCACCUAGAGGAGCCUGUUCUAUAAUCGAUAACCCACGCUACACCCAACCGCCUCUCGCCCAAAGCAGCCUACAUACCGCCGUCGCCAGCUCACCUCCAUUGAAAGAGCAACAGUGAGCACAAUAGCCCUCACGCUAACAAGACAGGUCAAGGUAUAGCUUAUGAGACGGAAGAAAUGGGCUACAUUUUCUAAUAGUAGAAAAUACGGAAAGAGAUAUGAAACUAUCCCUAGAAGGUGGAUUUAGCAGUAAAGGAUGAUAAUAAAGCUUCCUUUAAACUGGCUCUGGGACACGUACAUACCGCCCGUCACCCUCCUCGCAAGCUCCAAACUUCAAUAACUAAUACCCUUAUAAGCUAAAGAUGAGGUAAGUCGUAACAAGGUAAGUGUACCGGAAGGUGUACUUAGCAUAU